rnacentral:rRNA from 1 species
GUCAGGUCCUCAUGGCCCUUACGCCCAGGGCUACAAACGUGCCACAAUGGCCGGUACAAAGGGACGCGAAGCCGUGAGGUCAAGCAAAUCCCCAAAAGCCGGUCUCAGUUCGGAUUGAGGGCUGCAACUCGCCCUCAUGAAGCUGGAAUCGCUAGUAAUCGGGGAUCAGCUACGCCCCGGUGAAUAUGUUCCUGAGCCUU